UGAGGGGUGAUCAGACUGCAAUUUUCUUAUGCUCCCUUCCAGGGAAAGCAUAUGGCGAACAUUCUCCUAGGCUCUCAGGACCAGCCCUGAAAUUCCUUUGCCAUUGAUGGGAAAACUCAAACAAAAAUCAAAGUAAUAAUCAAUGUCACUUAGUGAAUUAGUGAUGGAGACAGGAACAGAAUCCAGACUUUCUAACUUGGGGAUCCCCUGCUUUUAAGUCUAAAUGGUGCUUUUUAUUUUAAUCCAGCUGUGCUGAGUUAAUAAGACUUUGACAAGAUCCAGCCCUGUGUUUUGCAGAGUUAACAUAUUGGAUAUUUACCUCGGCUAUUUGUUGUCUGUUUAAUAAGUUUUGUUUGUCUUCCCAGAUGCACAUUAUUUGGCAGUGUAUAAUCACAUACAAUUGUUUACACCAUUUACCGUUUGCUUUCAAGUCUUGCCAAGAAAGACUUGGUGUAAACUAGCUGUCUGCAGCAGCCACACUAAGUUAAGCCUUUGAAAGGGUCUAAUCGGGCCUAUAUAAAUAAACACUAUGAUAUGGAAAAUAACUCCAUAUAAAUUUACUGCACUGCUGGCCAGCUGGUAAAUACACAGACCUUCCUUCCUAUGGAACAGAUAGGAUUAAAUCUUACUCAGGGCAGUCCAGUCCAUGUAAUGAUUACAGAGAGCUAUUUAAGUUUUAAUUUAGAUUCCCAUCCAUGAACUGCACGCACGCACGCAUGCACACACGCACACGCACACACACACAAACACAAUCCUUUCAAUGGCAAUAUAUUUCAAUCAUGUGGUUAGUAAAGCUUCACUCUGGCUUUUAUUUUCAGAGAAAAUGGUCAGGAAAGCAAAUUUCAUCUCUGCUCAUUAGAAGGCUAAUGGGCAGGUCAUGAUAACGGGCGCGGGGGUGGGGAGGACCACAGAGGCUUGGAUCAUCUUUUAAACUAAUAAAGGAGAUCAGCGAAAAUUCUUACCAAUGCAACACGUGGGCGUAUGAAGGAAACUAGAGCCUAAGGGAAGCAGCAUCUUUUGAGGGAAGUGGCAUCUUCAGGAGAUUUUUGUCUUCCUUAUGCUUUUGUUCAUGCUGAUUUAUCCAAUGAAAAGCCCUCCUCUGCUACUUGGGAAUAAGCACACAUCCUUUAGAACUCUUUUGAAUUGCUAGUUCUGCCUUGUAUUCUUUUUUUUUGUGGCUAAUUCCUUCUGCUUUGUAUCACAUGAACUUGGAUAUGAACCUGCGUGUCCUGCAAUGCCUCAGGGGCAAAGGUGGUGAUCUUCAAAUUCCGUGCUUAGAGAGACAGGUAUUCCAUAAAUAUCUGUUGGCUCAAGGAAGGGUUGAACAAUAGUAAUAUUUCUUUGAAUAUUAAAAUGGCAAGCUCUUUUAAUACCUGAUCAGAGUAUUUGAAUUUACCUCCUCUGAAGUGGUACCAGGAUAGUAUUUAAACUCGUCCACAUCUUUUAAUUAAUACCAGAAGGGUUUGUGUUGGCUAAAAUCCUGGGAGAGCAUUUCUGUUUCAUUUAGCAAAUAUUAUUUAAAAUGCCUUUUUUGGAAUUGUCAUUGAUUUGGGAGUGCGUGUGAUGAGGGUAUUGUGGUUAUGUUUAAAAGGGAAAUUCCUGGUAUGACAGAAAUACGUGCUGAAAUAUUUAGAGAUGAAUUAGAUGAUGCGUAGAAUUUGCUUCACAAUAACCGGGGAGGGAUAAAGAAUAGGAAUUGAGACAAAGAAAGACCAGCCAUAAGUUGAUCGUUGUUGGGGUGAUAGAUAUGUGGAGGUUCAUUAAACUGUUCUCUUUACUUUUGCAUGUGGUUAGAACGUCCCAUAAUAAUAAUUUCUUACAUUUGUGGAAGAGGAGAAUCUUCUGUAGUGUCACCACUGGACAAGAAAUAUGAAACCAUAGACCUACGUUUCUUUUGCUCCGAAUGCCCAUAAUAUUUGAUAUUUUGGAUGAAGCAAAAAAUAGCAGAAAAGGACACUCGCCUCAUUUUUGACCACUUUCUUUCUUAGGUGUCAGGAAUUAUCUUUCUGGGGGCCAAAAUUCAUUUUCAAAGAUUGCAACUUGACCAUUUACUAUUGUAAUAGUGCAUGUGCUGUAACUGUUUGUGGCAGACUCAGAGGACUGGAAUGGACAAAGGGAAAAAAAUGGCUGCAACACCAGGAUCUCACCCCAGAAAUACCUUGAGAUCAACCCGGGCCAACACAAUCCAGGAUGAGUAUCUGAAAACUCUUCCACCUCCCCACCUCACCCCUCCACUGUGUUCCAUGUAGCAAUUUUCAUGAAUCAUGUAUUUCUUGCAUAGAGUUAUUACAUAAGGGAGUUCCCAUCGUGGCUCAGCAGUAACAACCCAACUAAGAUCCAUGAAGACGCGGGCUUGAAAUCUGGCCUCCCUCAUGGGUUAAGGAUCCAGGGUUGUGGUGAGCUAUGGUGUAAGUUGCAGAUGUGCCUCAGAUCCUGUGUUGCUGUGGCUGUGGUAUAGGCUGGCAACUCUAGCUCUGAUUGGACCCCUAGCCUGGGGAUUUCCAUAUGCCGCAGGUGUGGCCCUAAAAAGCAAAGAAAAAAAAAAAAGAGUUGUUAGAUAAAAACACAAGAAGCCAAGUUAAAUUUCAAUUUCAGAUAAACAACAAAUAACAUUUUAGGAUUCCUAUGUCUCAAAUACUGCUUGGGACAUACUUAUUUUUAUUUACUAAAUCUGGCAACCUUAUUCUUGGGUCUCUGUGGUGCUUAUAAUUCCAACAAUUUGACUAGUUGAUUAAUUAGUUAAAGGCCCAUUUCCCAUUUUUCAUUGGUUUAAUUAUCCUGAAAAGCCUUAUUUAGCUCUGCCGUUCACUAAAACAUUGAACUAAAAAAGGCCUACCUUUAUUCAAAAAUACCAAAUUCUAUAUAGAAUACCUGUAUUUUCAAAUCUAAUUAAUUUUUAAGCAAUAAAACAUACACUGUUAAAGUAAAAUCAAGUAACACUAAAAGGCUGAUAAUGAAAAACAGCUGGUUUUUGGAGUUCCUAUUGUGGCUCAGCAGGUUAAGAACCCCUCCAAUAUCCUUGAAGAUGUGGGUUCAAUCCCUGGCCUCUUUCAGAGGGUAACGGAUCCAGCAUUGCCGUGAGCUGCAGUGUAGGUUGUAGAUGGGGAUCCAAUCUGGAGUUGCUGUGGCUGUGGUGCAGGCCAGCAGCUGCAGCUCCAAUUCAACCCCUAGCCUGGGAACUUCCAUAUGCUGCAGGUGCAGAAAAAGAAAACCAGGUGGUUUCUGCUACACCCUUUCCUGAACCCUAGAUCCAUUCACUCUUUAGAGUCCACAGUAAGUAGAGGAUACAAGCCUUGCAGCUACCUUCUUAUCACUAAAAUAUAGCCUUAUGCUGUUACUAAGUUAUCAAUUUUUGGCAUUACAUAUUGUGUCUUUUGCUCAAUGGAGAUUUAAUUUUCCCCCACUAUUCUCUGCCUUUCUAGUUUUAUUACUGCUUUUAGACAAAUGAAUAAUCAAUUGCUCACAUCAUUAUGACUGUUGCUUUGGACUGAAUUGCAUGCCCCCGUUUAUAUGUUAAAACCCUAACCCUCAAUGUGAUGGUAUUUGAAAAUAGGACCUUGGAGGAGGCAAUUAGGUUUAGCUCAAGUCAUGAGUGUGGGGCCCACAGGAUGAGAUUAGUACCUUUUUAAGAGGAAGAGAGACCAGAGGUCUCCUCCCUGCUUUCCCCCAUGUGAGAAAAGCAGGUGUCUACAAGCCAGGAAGAGAGUCCUCACCAGGAAUGGUCUGUUGGAACCUUGAUCUUGGACUUGCCAGUCUGUAGAACUGUUGCUUAAACCACCCAGUGGCACCCAAGUAGACCAAUGCAACUGUAUGUAUGUUCACUGCAGAGCCAAGCAACAUAUUAUGAUCAUAAAUACUUUCCUUUAACAAUUUUUUUCAAAUUAAGAAUUUCCUUGUUUUUCACUUGCAUACCAUUAAUUAUUUGCAUGUGUUUUAUUACAGUGCAAUUCAAAGUAUGGACCCACAGACCAACAAUAUCAACAUCACCCAGGAACUUAUUUAAAAUGCUAGAACAAGUGGAUAUCCAUACGCAAAAAAAAAAGAAAAAGAAUUUCAAAUUUCAAUUCGUCUCACACCCUUUACAAAAAUUAACUUCAGAUGUCUCAUAGACCUAAAUGUAAAACCUAAAACUAUAAAGCUUCCAGAAAAAAGCAUGAGAGAAAAUCUUUGUGACCAGGAGUUAGAUAAAGAUUUCUUAGAUAAAAUCUCAAAAGAAUGAUCUAUAACCUCAAAAGAAUGAUCUAUAAAAGAAAAGACUGACAUGCUGGACUUUACCAAAAUUAAUAACUUAUGCUGUUUGAAAAAUACUUUAAAGUAAUGAAAACACCAACCACACACUGGAGAAACACUCUCAAAGCAUCCAUGGGAUGAAAACUUAUAUACAGAAUAUAUAAAGAAUUCUCAAAACUCAGUAAUAAGAAGACAACCAAACAGAAUACAGGCACAAGGUUUCAAUAGCCAUUUCUCUGAUGAAGACAUAUGGAUAGCAAAUAAGCACAUGAAAAGAUGUUCAAUAUCAUUAGACGUGCAAAUUAAAAUCACAACAUGAUAUCACUACUAAUUUACUGAAGUGGCUAAAAUUAGAAAGACUGACCAUUACCAAAUGUUGGCAAGGAUGUGAAGGAACUGGAUCUCAUGUGUGGUUGGUGGCAUCGAAAAUGAUAUAAGCACUUUGGAGAACAGCUUGGCAAUUCCUUAAAAUGUUAAACAUAUGAUUCUGGCAUUCCAUUCCUAGGUAUUUACCCAAGAAAAAUGAAAGCAUAUGUCCACACAAAGACUUGCAUAUGAAUAUUUGCAACAACCUUAUUUGUAGAAGCCCAAACUGGGAACAGUCCAAAUGUCCAUCAGCAGGUACAUGGGUAGGAGCUCUCAUCAUGGCACAGUGGAAACGAAUCUGACUAGUAUUCAUGAAGAUGCGGGUUCGAUCCCUGACCUUGCUCAGUGGGUCGGGGAUCUGGUGUUGCCGUGAACUGUGGUGCAGUUGCAGACUUGGCUCGGUUCUGACAUUGUUAUGGUUGUGGUGUAGGCUGGCAGCUGCAGCUCCAGUUCGACCCCUAGCCUGUGAAUUUCUGUAUGCUGGGGGUACNAAAAAAAAAAAAAAAAAAAAAAAAAA
rnacentral:lncRNA from 1 species